rnacentral:rRNA from 1 species
UCGAGGGGCAGCGGGUGUAGCAAUACAUGCCGGCGACCGGCGCACGGGUGCGUAACACGUAUACAAUCUGCCUUUAACAGGAGGAUAGCCCGGAGAAAUCCGGAUUAAUACUCCAUAACAGGAGGAUCGGCAUCGAUCUUUUUUGAAAGCUCCGGCGGUUAAAGAUGAGUAUGCGUCUGAUUAGCUAGUUGGUAGUGUAACGGACUACCAAGGCAACGAUCAGUAGGGGAUCUGAGAGGACUACCCCCCACACUGGUACUGAGACACGGACCAGACUCCUACGGGAGGCAGCAGUAAGGAAUAUUGGACAAUGCCCGCAAGGGUGAUCCAGCCAUGCCGCGUGCAGGAAGAAGGCCCUAUGGGUCGUAAACUGCUUUUGAACAAGAGAAAACCCCUGUACGUGUACGGGGCUGAUAGUAUUGUUAGAAUAAGCAUCGGCUAACUUCGUGCCAGCAGCCGCGGUAAGACGAAGGAUGCAAGCGUUAUCCGGAUUCAUUGGGUUUAAAGGGUGCGUAGGCGGCCCGGUAAGUCAGUGGUGAAAUCUCCUUGCUUAACAAGGAAACUGCCAUUGAUACUGUCGGGCUUGAGUACAGUUGCUGUGGGCGGAAUAUGACAUGUAGUGGUGAAAUACAUAGAGAUGUCAUAGAACACCGAUUGCGAAGGCAGCUCACAAAACUGUAACUGACGCUGAGGCACGAAAGUGCGGGGAUCAAACAGGAUUAGAUACCCUGGUAGUCCGCACUGUAAACGAUGAUCACUCGCUGCUGGGGAGCAAUUUCCAGUGGCUUAGCGAAAGCGAUAAGUGA